rnacentral:rRNA from 1 species
AUACGUAGGUUGCGAGCGUUGUCCGGAAUGAUUGGGCGUAAAGGGCGCGUAGGCGGCCCGGUAAGUCUGGAGUGAAAGUCCUGUUUUUAAGAUGGGAAUUGCUUUGGAUACUGUCGGGCUUGAGUGCAGGAGAGGUAAGUGGAAUUCCCAGUGUAGAGGUGAAAUGCGUAGAGAUUGGGAGGAACACCAGUGGCGAAGACGACUUACUGGACUGUAGCUGACGCUGAGGCGCGAAAGUGUGGGGAGCAAACAGGAUUAGAUACCCUGGUAGUCCACACUGUAAACGAUGAAUGCUAGGUGUAGGGGGUAUCGACCCCUUCUGUGCCGCAGUCAACACAAUAAGCAUUCCGCCUGGGGAGUACGGCCGCAAGGUUGAAACUCAAAUGAAUUGGCGGGG